UGUGAGUCCUGCUGACACCACAACAUUGGUCUGAACCUCGACUCGUACACAUUGGGGAUACGUUUGGAUUAUUAAACGUUUCUUCUUUCACCACUCCAGAUACGACAGCGUCUGUCCGUGAGAAGGUGCUGGACAGGAGCAGGACGUAAGUGCUGACGGAUUGGUGCAGAAGGGCGCAGCAG
ensembl:lncRNA